rnacentral:rRNA from 1 species
AUUGAACGCUGGCGGCAGGCCUAACACAUGCAAGUCGAACGGUAGCACAGAGAGCUUGCUCUCGGGUGACGAGUGGCGGACGGGUGAGUAACGUCUGGGAAACUGCCCGAUGGAGGGGGAUAACUACUGGAAACGGUAGCUAAUACCGCAUAACGUCGCAAGACCAAAGUGGGGGACCUUCGGGCCUCACACCAUCGGAUGUGCCCAGAUGGGAUUAGCUAGUAGGUGGGGGAAUGGCGCACCUAGGCGACGAUCCCUAGCUGGUCUGAGAGGAUGACCAGCCACACUGGAACUGAGACACGGUCCAGACUCCUACGGGAGGCAGCAGUGGGGAAUAUUGCACAAUGGGCGCAAGCCUGAUGCAGCCAUGCUGCGUGUAUGAAGAAGGCCUUCGGGUUGUAAAGUACUUUCAGCGGGGAGGAAGGCGGUGAAGUUAAUAACUUCACCGAUUGACGUUACCCGCAGAAGAAGCACCGGCUAACUCCGUGCCAGCCGCCGCGGUAA